rnacentral:rRNA from 1 species
UGCUAAUAGUGCAAUGGCAUAAGCGUGCUUAACUGCGAGACCCACAAGUCGAGCAGGUACGAAAGUAGGACAUAGUGAUCCGGUGGUUCUGUAUGGAAGGGCCAUCGCUCAACGGAUAAAAGGUACUCUGGGGAUAACAGGCUGAUUCCUCCCAAGAGUUCAUAUCGACGGGGGAGUUUGGCACCUCGAUGUCGGCUCAUCACAUCCUGGGGCUGUAGCCGGUCCCAAGGGUAUGGCUGUUCGCCAUUUAAAGUGGUACGUGAGCUGGGU